rnacentral:rRNA from 1 species
GGGUUGUGAGGUUAAGCGACUAAGCGUACACGGUGGAUGCCCUGGCAGUCAGAGGCGAUGAAGGACGUGCUAAUCUGCGAUAAGCGUCGGUAAGGUGAUAUGAACCGUUAUAACCGGCGAUUUCCGAAUGGGGAAACCCAGUGUGAUUCGUCACACUAUCAUUAACUGAAUCCAUAGGUUAAUGAGGCGAACCGGGGGAACUGAAACAUCUAAGUACCCCGAGGAAAAGAAAUCAACCGAGAUUCCCCCAGUAGCGGCGAGCGAACGGGGAGGAGCCCAGAGCCUGAAUCAGUGUGUGUGUUAGUGGAAGCGUCUGGAAAGGCGCGCGAUACAGGGUGACAGCCCCGUACACAAAAAUGCACAUAUUGUGAGCUCGAUGAGUAGGGCGGGACACGUGGUAUCCUGUCUGAAUAUGGGGGGACCAUCCUCCAAGGCUAAAUACUCCUGACUGACCGAUAGUGAACCAGUACCGUGAGGGAAAGGCGAAAAGAACCCCGGCGAGGGGAGUGAAAAAGAACCUGAAACCGUGUACGUACAAGCAGUGGGAGCACGCUUAGGCGUGUGACUGCGUACCUUUUGUAUAAUGGGUCAGCGACUUAUAUUCUGUAGCAAGGUUAACCGAAUAGGGGAGCCGAAGGGAAACCGAGUCUUAACUGGGCGUUAAGUUGCAGGGUAUAGACCCGAAACCCGGUGAUCUAGCCAUGGGCAGGUUGAAGGUUGGGUAACACUAACUGGAGGACCGAACCGACUAAUGUUGAAAAAUUAGCGGAUGACUUGUGGCUGGGGGUGAAAGGCCAAUCAAACCGGGAGAUAGCUGGUUCUCCCCGAAAGCUAUUUAGGUAGCGCCUCGUGAAUUCAUCUCCGGGGGUAGAGCACUGUUUCGGCAAGGGGGUCAUCCCGACUUACCAACCCGAUGCAAACUGCGAAUACCGGAGAAUGUUAUCACGGGAGACACACGGCGGGUGCUAACGUCCGUCGUGAAGAGGGAAACAACCCAGACCGCCAGCUAAGGUCCCAAAGUCAUGGUUAAGUGGGAAACGAUGUGGGAAGGCCCAGACAGCCAGGAUGUUGGCUUAGAAGCAGCCAUCAUUUAAAGAAAGCGUAAUAGCUCACUGGUCGAGUCGGCCUGCGCGGAAGAUGUAACGGGGCUAAACCAUGCACCGAAGCUGCGGCAGCGACGCUUAUGCGUUGUUGGGUAGGGGAGCGUUCUGUAAGCCUGUGAAGGUGUGCUGUGAGGCAUGCUGGAGGUAUCAGAAGUGCGAAUGCUGACAUAAGUAACGAUAAAGCGGGUGAAAAGCCCGCUCGCCGGAAGACCAAGGGUUCCUGUCCAACGUUAAUCGGGGCAGGGUGAGUCGACCCCUAAGGCGAGGCCGAAAGGCGUAGUCGAUGGGAAACAGGUUAAUAUUCCUGUACUUGGUGUUACUGCGAAGGGGGGACGGAGAAGGCUAUGUUGGCCGGGCGACGGUUGUCCCGGUUUAAGCGUGUAGGCUGGUUUUCCAGGCAAAUCCGGAAAAUCAAGGCUGAGGCGUGAUGACGAGGCACUACGGUGCUGAAGCAACAAAUGCCCUGCUUCCAGGAAAAGCCUCUAAGCAUCAGGUAACAUCAAAUCGUACCCCAAACCGACACAGGUGGUCAGGUAGAGAAUACCAAGGCGCUUGAGAGAACUCGGGUGAAGGAACUAGGCAAAAUGGUGCCGUAACUUCGGGAGAAGGCACGCUGAUAUGUAGGUGAAGCGACUUGCUCGUGGAGCUGAAAUCAGUCGAAGAUACCAGCUGGCUGCAACUGUUUAUUAAAAACACAGCACUGUGCAAACACGAAAGUGGACGUAUACGGUGUGACGCCUGCCCGGUGCCGGAAGGUUAAUUGAUGGGGUUAGCGCAAGCGAAGCUCUUGAUCGAAGCCCCGGUAAACGGCGGCCGUAACUAUAACGGUCCUAAGGUAGCGAAAUUCCUUGUCGGGUAAGUUCCGACCUGCACGAAUGGCGUAAUGAUGGCCAGGCUGUCUCCACCCGAGACUCAGUGAAAUUGAACUCGCUGUGAAGAUGCAGUGUACCCGCGGCAAGACGGAAAGACCCCGUGAACCUUUACUAUAGCUUGACACUGAACAUUGAGCCUUGAUGUGUAGGAUAGGUGGGAGGCUUUGAAGUGUGGACGCCAGUCUGCAUGGAGCCGACCUUGAAAUACCACCCUUUAAUGUUUGAUGUUCUAACGUUGACCCGUAAUCCGGGUUGCGGACAGUGUCUGGUGGGUAGUUUGACUGGGGCGGUCUCCUCCUAAAGAGUAACGGAGGAGCACGAAGGUUGGCUAAUCCUGGUCGGACAUCAGGAGGUUAGUGCAAUGGCAUAAGCCAGCUUGACUGCGAGCGUGACGGCGCGAGCAGGUGCGAAAGCAGGUCAUAGUGAUCCGGUGGUUCUGAAUGGAAGGGCCAUCGCUCAACGGAUAAAAGGUACUCCGGGGAUAACAGGCUGAUACCGCCCAAGAGUUCAUAUCGACGGCGGUGUUUGGCACCUCGAUGUCGGCUCAUCACAUCCUGGGGCUGAAGUAGGUCCCAAGGGUAUGGCUGUUCGCCAUUUAAAGUGGUACGCGAGCUGGGUUUAGAACGUCGUGAGACAGUUCGGUCCCUAUCUGCCGUGGGCGCUGGAGAACUGAGGGGGGCUGCUCCUAGUACGAGAGGACCGGAGUGGACGCAUCACUGGUGUUCGGGUUGUCAUGCCAAUGGCACUGCCCGGUAGCUAAAUGCGGAAGAGAUAAGUGCUGAAAGCAUCUAAGCACGAAACUUGCCCCGAGAUGAGUUCUCCCUGACUCCUUGAGAGUCCUGAAGGAACGUUGAAGACGACGACGUUGAUAGGCCGGGUGUGUAAGCGCAGCGAUGCGUUGAGCUAACCGGUACUAAUGAACCGUGAGGCUUAACCUUACAACGCCGAAG